rnacentral:rRNA from 1 species
GUCCACGCGGUAAACGAUGUGUGCUAGACGUUGGAGGGCCUAGCUCUUCGGUGUCGCAGCUAACGCUUUAAGCACACCGCCUGGGGAGUACGGCCGCAAGGUUAAAACUCAAAGGAAUUGACGGGGCCCGCACAAGCGGUGGAGCAUGUGGUUUAAUUCGACGCAACGCGAAGAACCUUACCAGCUCUUGACAUGCCUCGUAUGGUCCGGGGAGACCCGGUCCUUCGGUUCGGCCGGCGGGGACACAGGUGCUGCAUGGCUGUCGU